AGUGAACGCUGGCGGUAGGCCUAACACAUGCAAGUCGAACGGCAGCACAGUAAGAGCUUGCUCUUACGGGUGGCGAGUGGCGGACGGGUGAGGAAUACAUCGGAAUCUACUUUUUCGUGGGGGAUAACGUAGGGAAACUUACGCUAAUACCGCAUACGACCUACGGGUGAAAGCAGGGGAUCUUCGGACCUUGCGCGAUUGAAUGAGCCGAUGUCGGAUUAGCUAGUUGGCGGGGUAAAGGCCCACCAAGGCGACGAUCCGAAGCUGGUCUGAGAGGAUGAUCAGCCACACUGGAACUGAGACACGGUCCAGACUCCUACGGGAGGCAGCAGUGGGGAAUAUUGGACAAUGGGCGCAAGCCUGAUCCAGCCAUACCGCGUGGGUGAAGAAGGCCUUCGGGUUGUAAAGCCCUUUUGUUGGGAAAGAAAAGCAGCAGGUUAAUACCCCGCUGUUCUGACGGUACCCAAGGAAUAAGCACCGGCUAACUUCGUG
rnacentral:rRNA from 1 species